CAGAAAGUAGUUUAAUUAGAAUAGUAGCUUUGGGGGUUAUUGGUAUGAGUUUGAUUCUUGUUUUUCUGA
rnacentral:tRNA from 1 species